GGCCGGCUACGAUCGGACCGAUCCCUCCUAUGUUCCUCAAGAUGCUCAGCUGGGCGUGGGCAAGGCCAAGAAUGGUGUCAUGGUGGAGUGCAGAAUCUGCCAGGAGGAAGGUGACGAGGCGUACAUGGAGGCCCCCUGCUCCUGCAAGGGCAGCUUGAAAGCAAGCUUAAUUUCCUCUGCUUCUCAUUUCGGUGUUCCAGUUUGAUCCUUGGCUAUCAUGAAGUUUGCAUUGAAAUUGGGCACAACUGCUGCAACAUCUUAGGAAGAAAAAUGUUAUGCUUCAAGGCCUGAAUGGUUAAAGAUGUAUUGCUUGGCAACUUUCUGUUCAUGGUAGCAUUUUCUAUGCAUGUAAAUGACUUGAAGUAGUUCAGUUUUGGACUUCAAUUUUUAUAGUUGUAAGGUGGUUAAAGAAUCAUGUGGAAACAAUGUUUGAACAAAUUUGGGCCGUUUGUUUUUGAAAUCCACAUGCUUGAAUUGCUGUUUGCAUGAUUGAACAA